GCAUCCCGGCGUCCCGGCCCCCGGCGGCGUGGCCCGCGGGUCAUGGCCAAAGGAGAGGGCGCGGAGAGCGGCUCCGCGGCGGGGCUGCUGCCCACCGGCAUCCUCCCAGCCGCUGAACGGCCGGCCCAGGUGAAGAAGGAACCCAAGAAGAAACAACAGUUGUCCAUUUGCAACAAGCUUUGCUAUGCAGUUGGGGGGGCCCCCUACCAGGUGACAGGCUGUGCCCUGGGGUUCUUCCUGCAGAUCUACCUGUUGGAUGUGGCUCAGGUGGACCCUUUCUCUGCCUCCAUCAUCCUAUUUGUGGGCCGAGCUUGGGACGCCUUCACAGACCCCCUGGUGGGCUUCUGCAUUAGCAAAUCUUCCUGGACCCGCCUGGGCCGCCUCAUGCCCUGGAUCAUCUUCUCCACACCCCUGGCCAUCAUUGCUUACUUCCUCAUCUGGUUCGUGCCUGACUUCCCACAGGGCCAGGCCCUGUGGUACCUGCUUUUCUAUUGCCUGUUUGAAACACUGGUCACGUGUUUCCACGUUCCCUACUCAGCUCUCACGAUGUUCAUCAGCACAGAGCAGAGUGAGCGGGAUUCUGCCACUGCAUAUCGGAUGACUGUGGAGGUACUGGGCACAGUGCUGGGCACAGCGAUCCAGGGGCAAAUCGUGGGCCAAGUGGAUACGCCUUGCCUCCAGGACCCCAAGGACUCUUCACUGGCUACAGAAGGUGCCAAUCGGACACAGAGCAUCACCUCACUCAAAGAAACGCAAAAUGCAUACCUGCUGGCAGCAGGAGUCAUUGCCUCCAUCUACGUCGUCUGUGCUGUCAUCCUGACCCUGGGCGUGCGGGAGCAGAGAGAACCCUAUGAGACUCAGCAGGCUGAGCCGAUGUCCUUUUUUCGGGGCCUCCGGCUGGUCAUGAGCCAUGGCCCAUACGUCAAGCUUAUUGCUGGCUUCCUCUUCACCUCCCUGGCUUUUAUGCUGGUGGAGGGGAACUUCGCCUUGUUUUGCACCUACACCUUGGGCUUCCGAAACGAAUUCCAGAAUCUGCUCCUGGCCAUCAUGCUCUCGGCCACGUUCACCAUUCCCGUCUGGCAGUGGUUCCUAACCCGAUUUGGCAAGAAGACGGCGGUAUACAUUGGGAUCUCAUCAGCAGUGCCAUUUCUCAUCUUGGUGGCCUUCAUGGAGAGUAACCUGAUUGUCACCUACGUGGUAGCUGUGGCAGCCGGCAUCAGUGUGGCAGCGGCCUUCUUACUACCCUGGUCCAUGCUGCCGGAUGUCAUCGACGACUUCCACCUGAAGCAGCCCCAGUCUCAUGGAACUGAGCCUAUCUUCUUCUCCUUCUAUGUCUUCUUCACCAAGUUCGCCUCUGGAGUCUCCCUGGGCAUCUCCACCCUCAGUCUUGACUUUGCCGGGUACCAGACCCGUGGCUGCUCACAGCCGGAACGUGUCAAGUUCACCCUGAAGAUGCUGGUGACUAUAGCUCCCAUAGCCCUUAUCCUGCUAGGCCUGCUGCUCUUCAAGCUGUACCCCAUCGAUGAGGAGAAGCGGCGGCAGAACAAGAAGGCCCUGCAGGCUCUGAGAGCAUGCACUGAGGAAAGGCCAUGUGAGGACAUAGCAAGAAGGUGGCUGUCUGCAAGCCAAGAAGAGAGUCUCAACGGAAACCGAAUCAGUUGGCACCUUCAACUUAGACGUUUCAGCCUCCAGAACUACAACUUGAUUUACUCAUUUCACAUAUCUCCAGAUCAAGAGGAACCACAUCUGAAGAGUCUCAUCUACAACUCGACCUCAUUUAGAGGAUGAGGUCCUGUACGUUGAGCUGACACCAUAAUGUGAUGAGAAUGUCCUGGCAGGAGGUUGAAUGUAUUUUGCAUAUUUGAUGGAUGUGAGAGAGAGACGCAGCGAGAGAGGGAACACAAGCUGGGGGAGUGGGAGAGGGAGAAGCAGGCUUCCCGCUGAGCUGGGAGCCCGAUGCGGGGCUCGAUCCCAGGACCCUGGGACCAUGACCUGAGCUGAAGGCAGACACUUAACGACUGAGCCACCCAGGUGCCCCUAAUAUAUCGUAUUUUUUUUAAAGAUUUUAUUUAUUUAUUUAUUUAUUUGAGAGAGAGAAAGAGAGAGAGAUCACAAGCAGGGAGAGGGGCAGAGGGAGAAGCAGACUCCCCACUGAACAGGGAGUCCGAUGCAGGACUUGAUCCCAGGACCCUGGGAUCAUGACCUGAGCCGAAGGCAGACAUUUAACCGACUGAGUCACCCAGGCAUCCAAUAUAUUGUAUUUUUUAAGUCAGCUCUAAGUAUUUUCUGAUUUCCUAUAUGCUGUCUUAUUUGAACAGUUUAGCAGUAUGUUUUAAUAUUUCCAAACAUACAGAAUAUUUUAAGGUGUUGCUAUUAUUGUCCUCCAAUUAUGAGGUAGACACACAAUGUGGUAAGUAAAAUACUGAUUCUUUGGUAUUUGAGACUUGUUUUCAACAAAGGUAGAGCAUGGUCUAGAGUACGGACAAUAUUUACAAAAGCUCCAUGGAAAUGCUUGAUGAAAAUAUAUACUCUCUAAUAUUGGGUAAAGUUUUCUAAAUAAAAAUAUAUUAAAUCAAACCUUAAAACAAAACAAAACAACUGUCAUAAUUGUAUGCCAUCUGUGACAUCUUUUGCAUGGUAUGAUCUAGUUUUUUCAUUCUUUGUUAAUGGGAUAUGAAGUAUUCGAAAAUUUUAUGGUAUAGGCAUUAUGCUUGAUUUUAACUAUAAAUAUGUGGAGUUUUACACCUAAUAGUUCAUCAGUAUUUUAAGAUACUGGUAUUUGAUAUUCUCUUUUUAUGAACAAAUCGAUUGCAAUUUUUAAGCUAGAACAUUGCAAAGUUGUUCAGAAAGUUAUUACAGCCAUAAAAAAAAUUAUUACAGCCAUGUAACUUUGAUUUUCAAUACUUAGAAUUAUGUACAAAUUGUUCAUAGUGUCUGUGUUCUGAUCAUCAAAAAAAUAAUAAAAUACUGAUUAUGAAAAAGUAAAUGUUAGCAUAAAAAUAGACUGAGUUCAGACAUGUGUACAUGAAGAUUUUAGGAAUGACAAAAUGGUAUUUUAAUUCAGUGAGGAAUGUGUGGUUUAUUUAGUAAAAUUAAUAAAUGGCACUGGCACAAUUAGCCAACCACCAGAAAGAAAGUAAGAUGGGACUCCCAAACUCACUACAUUCAGAAAUAAAUUCUGGGUGCAUUAAAGUUUAAAGGUUAAAAAAGGAAAAGUUAGGUUUAUUUGACCUCGGCAAAAUCCAUUUUUUUAAUAACGGAAAAGAUAACAAAGUCAAAGGAUGAAUUGGAAAAAUGUUUGCAAUAUAUGGAAUUGAAAAGGGAUUAAUACCUGUAAUAUACAAUAAGAGUCUCUAAAUUAAUUUAAAAAAAAAGAGACAAUUCAACCAUUUGCAGCAAUGGGAGCUAUAGUUCCUACCAUUAACCUCCCUCUUCUAAGUUUUCCUUCAAUAAGAGAGGCCUGGAAGGAGGAGCUGCUUUCCAAAGAUGUGUGGAAGAUUGGAUCCUGAGCAGUGCAAGGGACGGACUGUGUGCAUGAGCUCUUAGAUAUACCUUUUAGAAAAGAACUGCUGUGAAGAGCUUAGGUAGCUGACAUCUGCCAACUGUCAUACUGUUGGGAUUUGCCACGACAUUCAUGCCAAGGCACACUCUCCCUGGAUUAGUCCCAGCUGAUGACUAAGCCCAGUGGGCAUACUGAAGCUGGGCCAUUUCUCCCUCUUGUGGGGCUGUAAUGGGAAAUAAGUCUGGCCAAGUCUUCUUCAGAGCUUCUCUGCCCCGCUUCAGAAAAUGCAACUCUGAAGCAUUUUCUACCCAGUCUUUCUGUUACAGGUGUAGGUCCCACAUCAUGGUCUGAAGAUUCUCCCUGUCUACUCCUACUUCCUCUCAUCUUUAUCUUUCACAGGCAUUGCCUCCUUGGACUUCUGAUUCCAUCCUUGUCAUCUGCUUCUGAGAGGACUCCAAUUUAUACAGCUUCUAAAUUUGGGGGGUGAUUCACUAUGUAGCAAUAAUGAAACAGUUUGGUAUGGAUGUUGCCAUAACAAAAGCCUAAAACAUUGGCAUUGGCUUUGGAACUGCAUGGCAGAGGGCUGGAAGGGCCUUGAGGCUACCCAGUUGCUAACUGAAUUUUCUUAUGAGAAAGAAAGGAUGAUUCAGAGGGUGGAAUCAAGAGCCCAGACACUGGAGCCAAAAACCACAGUGAACAAGAAUGAGUCUCAGGCAGUUGGACUAAACUCUAAUCAACAUAUGCUUGUAGGAUUUUAUAUUGGCUCUGUUGUGUACCUUCCAUUUUCCUUUUUUUUGAGAGAGAGAGAGAGCGCACAUGUGCGAGCAGGGAAGGGCAGAAGGAGAAGGAGAGAGAAUCUUAAGCAGGCUCCACCCUCAGUGUGGAACUGGACAUGGGGCUCGAUCUCGCAAGUCUCAGAUUAAAUAACAUUUCCUCAGGGCAGCCUGCCCUAAUGCCCCCUCUCCCCCGAGAUUAGGUCAUCUCACUGUGUUGUGUAUUUCCUUAACCUUCUGAACUUCUCUGACACAGCACUUUGCUUCAGAUUCUUGUAAUUAUUUAGUGGACUAUCUGUUUCAUGUCCGUCUUCCCUACUAGGCUCCAUGAUGAGAGGCUGUACCUAUUUUAUUCACCAUUGCGUCCACAGUGCUCAGUAGUACCUGGCAUGUAGUUAGAUGCGCGCUACGUAUUUCUGGACUGGCUGACCAUCAGGGAAGGCCCAAAUAGCACUGGCCUUUGGGCACAGGCUAGAAUUGCCUAAGGCUACACUCCUCACCCCUUUCCUCCCUUAAGGGAAGUUGUAAAGGUCAGGAGAAACGGAAGUACUAGAUGGCUUCAUGCACUGUCCAGGACAAUAUGAAAGAAUAUGCAUCACAAUUUUACUUACUAGAGUGAAAAAUUAGGAAAACCUCAACAGCCCUAAAUGUCCAGUAAUAUGGGAAUGGCUUCAUACAUUACACCAGUGGUUUAAAAGCACUGUCUAAUAUAUCCAAACCUUCUUUUUCUUUCUUUUUUUUUUAAGAUUUUAUUUAUUUGACAGAGAGAGACACAGUGAGAGAGGGAAGACAAGCAGGGGGAGUGGGAGAGGGAGAAGCAGACUCCCUUCCAAGGAGGGAGCCCGAUAUGGGGCUCGAUCCCAGGACCCUGGGACCGUGACCUGAGCUGAAGGCAGACACUUAACAACUGAGCCACCCAGGCACCCCUAUAAUCCUUAUUUUUCAAACAGAACCUGACAUCAGGGCCCCAAUAGGUAAAAUGCAUUAAAAAUGGGACUAUUCUAGUUGAAUGAGGAAUGGGGCAGAGUUUAAUCUCUUAGGCCACCCCAGCUUUCCCUUUCUCUUCCCCUCCCCCAUUUUUCUGUCCUUCCUCCUCUGAGUCUUGAAGGCUUUCCAAUUCCUAGCUCUAUUCUCUCUUUUAAAGCCAAGACAUCGUUUCCUUUUAGGCUUCCAUGAGGCAUUCCUAAAAGCUUUAUUGUGUUGUUGUUAAACUAGCUCAAGUUGGUUUUCGGUUACUUGUAAUUAAAACGAAAACAAAAACAAAAACCCCUAAAUAAUACUGUUGUAGCUUGAGAUUCACUUACGUAAUGGAAAGAGAAUGGGGUUUGGAGUCAGAAAACUGGUUUCAAAUCUAGGUCCUGACUUUGCGCAAGUUAACCAUUUUCAACUCAGUUUUCUCAUCUGCAAAGGGGAUUAUACUUAACUUUCGUGAAUUUUUUUAAAACCCAAUACUAAUAUAUUAAAAGACCAGGUAUUGAGCAGGCUUUCAACAAAUGUUAAAUAAAUAAGAUUAAACUCUUUUUAGAAGUCACUCCUACUCCCUCCAACUUGAAGCCAAAAUUAGCAAGGCUGCCAUCUUGUGGCAAUUUACUGACACACUCACUGUCCAAUGUCAUUUAGCACAUUUGAAGCAAGAUGUUCAAGAACCUAAAGCUAAAUAAAAGGAUGGCAGACAGGGCGUCUGGGUGGCUCAGUUGGUUAAGCGACUGCCUUCGGCUCAGGUCAUGAUCCUGGAGUCCCGCAUCGGGCUCCCUGCUCGGCAGGGGGUCUGCUUCUCCCUCUGACCCUCCUCCCUCUCAUGCUCUCUCUCAUUCUCUCUGUCUCAAAUAAAUAAAUAAAAUCUUUAUAAAAAAAAAAAAAGGAUGGCAGACACACCAGAGAGACACUGAAAUGAAACUAAAUAAUAACUAAAGACAUGAGACAAGGGUAAUUCAUCAGUGGAAAGAAUAAGGAAUAGAGAACCUAAGAAUGAACUUUUAGGAACUGUCACAUGCAGCAGAGAAGUUAGGGAAAGGGACAGAAAGAAAUGACUGAUGAAGAAGAAGUGAGUAACUUCAGUUCAGUGUAACACUCAAGCCAAGGUUGAAAUAUAUAGAUAUAUAGCUAUAGAUAUAGAUAUUCAUGUUGCUAGCUAACCUGUUAACUUUUUUCCCCAGACUUCAAAAGCCAUUAACUAAAGCCAGCUGACACCAUAAUCCUUAUAAUACUAUUGCCACAAGCCAUUCAAAUGUUACCUCUGUCUCUUAAGUCAAUGCUUCACCUUUCUUAUACACCUUAUUACAGUAUGCCACUGGUGAGAAUUUUAGUAAUUAUGAGGCUACUGCAUUGUCAAGGGUUAUCACUACUGCAUGAAUCACCAAGAAUGGGGUGCUCAUUGAGGUCUGAUCCAGUUCUAGAAUCCUAUGCUGAGAAUCUGCUUUCUUGGGUCACUUCUUUUUUUUUUUUUUUAAGGUUUUAUUUAUUUAUUUGACAGAGAGAGACACAGUGAGAGCUGGAACACAAGCAGGGGAGUGGUAGAGGGAGAAGCAGGCUUCCCGCUGAGGAAGGAGCCCGAUGAGGGGCUCGAUUCCAGGACCCUGGGAUCAUGACCCGAGCCGAAGGCAGAUGCUUAACGACUAAGCCACCCAGGUGUCUCUCUUGGGUCACUUCUACUACCAAAUCUUUUAGACUUAAUUUCCCCCAAAAGCAGAGUCUGAGACAAGGGCGUGCAAACAGGUAGUUUAUUUUUAGGAGUGAUCCCAAGGAACAGGAGUCAGAGAGUAGGAAGGGUAAAACAGGCAAACCAGGAAAGCCAAUCCAAGGACGACUGAUCCAGAAGGUCACUGCUUUGGGCAUGUGGAUGUCGAUUCUGCUGGAAAUACUCUGCAGCACUGUAGAAUGUGCCUCAUAAUUGUCCAACCAGGGAAGGAAGAGGGAAUAUUUAUGCACUGGCUCCUGUCCUUCAUUGGUCAAGGGUUUCCCAGUUGCUGGUUAACUCCUUCGAACUCUCAAGUUGGCACUUUUAGGUUGACACAUGUAUCAAAAUCACAGUGCAAGUUCCCACAGACAACCCACGAGGUGAAUUCCAUGAAAGAAGCCCUGGGGCAGAAAGCAAGAUACUUGGAGAAAGCAGUGGAAGCCAUGGGCUGUUAGGUCACACCUGCAAGCACCUGGUAGCCACAGCAAAGGCUGGAGUAGAAAGGUGCACCAAUGGGUACAAAAGGUGCCCAGUCCAUGGCCAUAAGUAAGGGACAACACCUUACAAGACUGAAGUUCUAUAGGAAGCGCUGUAAAUUGUGCACCGGUAAGCAAAUGUGCAGUAGCCUUUCACGUAGAACAAAAUAGAUGGAACGCAGGAAAAGAGGGUAAAUAUGGAGUGGUAAUUCUGUCCUAUCUAACUGACUCUUAAAUGUUGAUCUUCAUGUCUCUGUGAUUCUGACCAUGGCUCUUCACAAGUUCUAUUACCCAAGGGAGGCAUGCUCCCACCAGAGGACAUGGGAAUACUUCCACUGGACUGCACAGUAAGGCUGCCAUUUGCCAAUUUGGGCUUGUCUCGUCACUAGGUAAGAGAUAAAAAAGAAAAAAGUUAACUUGGUGUUCUAGAGGCAGCUCAUACAGGUUUGCAGGAGUUGACUGGGUGCUUGUGUCAGUUUCCUACUGUUGCUAUAAAAAAUUACCACAGGUUUAGUAGCUGCACACAAAUUUGUUAGAGUUCGGAAGAUCAGAAAUCGGAAGUGUGUCUUCUGGGGCUAAAAUCAAGGUGUGAGCCCAGGUGUUCCUACCAGAAGCUCUGAGGAAAAUUGGUUGCCUAACUUUUCCAGCUUCUGGAGGCUGCCUAUAUUCCUUGGUCGUAUAACUAAGACUUCUGCUUUCUUGUAACAUCUCUUUCUAACGCUGACUUCCUUUCCUGAUAAGGUUCCAUGUUGAUUGCAUUGGGCCUACCUGGAUAAUCUCUCCAUCUCAAUAUCCUUAAUUUCAUCAAAUCUGCCAAGUCCCUUUGCCAUGUAAGAUAGUAUAUUCACAGGUCCCAGAGAUUAGGAUGUGGUCAUCUUUGGAGAGCCAUUAUUCCAUAUACCACAGUGCCUUUUUCUCAACUCUAUAUUCAGUGACAUAUUGUUAGUUAAAAACUGGCCACGGUGGGAGUAUUUAUACUACAGAAAUUGGCAAAUGCUACAAAUCUGGGCUUGGAGAGCCUAUUGUUAAACUUUACAUGCAUGUCUUGGAUUAUGAUGGUUGGCUCGGGUGAAUGAGCCUAUUAUCAAGGCAAAGGAGAACUGUCACUAUACUAUAGGAAGGGAGGAUUAGGGAUAUAAUUCAGGGGAUCCUUAGCGGUCCUCCUACUCCUGCCAUGUUUAGUGCAGAAUGUUAUGGGAAUAUUUUACAGGCAGGACAGGCAAGACCUCCAAUCCCUUAGGAGAGAAGGUCUGAGUCACCUAUAGAAAACUCAUAGUCCUGGGCCGCAUGGAUGGCUCAGUUGGUUAAGCAUCUGACUCUUGAUCUCAGCUCAGAUCUUGAUCUCAGCGUCCUGAGUUCAAGCCCCACGAUGGGCUUAACUUAAAAAAAAAAAAAAGGAAGAAGAAAAACCUCACAGCCCCAACUACAAGCUAUGUGAUUAUAUUCUAGUUCACGCAAUGUAGUGGAAGUAAUAUAUGCCACUUCUUGAUCAGAUCCUUGAAGACUGCAGCAUGCCUUCAUGCCCUCUUUCUUGUCCAGUCGCUGUGACCCUGAUGAACUGAAGUGCUGGUUGAAGACAGAGAAUGUGGAAUGGGUAAUGGAUAUGUAAAGUCAUGAAGUCAAAACCAUCAACUAAGACCUUGUGAUUGCUAUAGAAAUGUUUCUUGCCAUGUCAGUUCAGUAGUUACAUAUUGUAUCUAAUUUUCUUCUCCUUUCCCCCGCAACAUAUAUAGGAUGUACUAUGUUGUGGUGGUUGACUUUAAAGAUCAGUCCAUAGGCUGAGGAACACUGAGGAAGCAUCAUUAUGGAACUAGCAGAAGACACACAUUAUUUGGAUAUCUUGGACUUGGAGCUGGAUGAAGUAACUGAUGAGAGUUUUGUCAAUUCCUUUUUGGGGGGAGGGUAGAGGGGUGAGUACGGUGAUGACAAUUUAGGUUAUAAAAGGUGUUGUUUUACUGAGGAGUUUUGUUUCAUUUUUGAAGUGUAAGUAUAGAAAGAAGAGUAUAUGUUGAUGUUGGGCCAUUCCCGGCAUUUAUUAUAGUGGACAUCUAUCAUUCCUACUGGACACUCAGCAUCUGCAACCCUUUUAUAUAUUUGGGUAACAUCCCAGACAGAGAGUGCCCCUUACAGCAUCAAAGCCGACAAUGCUAUCACUUUCUUAGGGUUGCAGAGCCAGCUAAUCCCAUUCUCUUUAGUAUGGGUUCCAUGAGAUAAAUGACUCUGGAAUAGGGAGAAAAGCCAGUAAAGGACUCAUUAAUGAGUGGGUUACUGCUGUGGGCAGCUGGGGCUUGGUCCUUCUGGGGACCCUCAAAAACACUGUGAAAUGUGCACCUUGGAAGUGUCUCUUUGAGGGACCAGGAAGCUGAAAUGUUUGUUGACUGUUGGUUCUGGCUAUGAGAUAGAAAGCAGGGUAUGCUUUGUGGAGUUCCUCAGAAAACUAGCUUUCCAAUUUCAGAUGCUGUACCUUCCUCUUCCUUUUUCCUCUUUCCUUAAACAUGAUGUGAUGGCUUGGGCUAUGACAGCCAACUUGCAACUCUAAGGAUAAGUCUAACUGAAUCACAGAGGUAUCAGCUGAUUUUACUGAGCCAGUAAAAUUGCCUACCUCUAUUCUUCUUGGGAAAAAUAUACUUAAGAAAAAAGUCACCAAACUCAUGUGUCCUGUUGUCUACAGCCAAAACAUUCAUAUUCCUUUCUUUAAGAAAGUAUUUUAUUUAUUUAUUUGAGAGAGAAAGAGCAUGCACACGCAAGAGAUCACAAGCAGGGCGGAGGGGUAGAGGGAAGAUCAUGACCUGAGCCGAAGGCAGCCCCUUAACCAACUGAGCCACCCAGGCGCCCCAGCAUUCAUAUUCUUAAUUGAUUUAUCUAGUCGUACUUGCAGCCAAGGGCACAGGUCCAGACUUUGGAUCAAAAGGUAGCAAUGUAAAGAAGCAGACACUGUGGGGAAACUUUCUGGUGAUGGGGCAGUAACAGCAAUGGCUCUGGUAGAACCAUCCAGACCUUGUUUUGCUUUCUGGUGGCCUUCACCAGGAACACAGGCAAUAGACUAUAUGUAUUGAGUAAUAAUUGUUACUUCUCAUUCAUAUUUACUGUGAGCCAGAUGUUUUAUAAAUUCUCUCCUAAUCUUCAUAUCAACCAUUCAAGAUGAGUAUUAAUAUCCUUCUUUGAGGUUAACUGACUAGACCCAGAUCAAACAGUAAGUGGCAGAGUGGGAUUCAAGUUCAGGUCUGAGUGACAUCAAAGCCAGAUCUUUUUUUUUUUUUUUAAAGAUUUUAUUUAUUUAUUCAUGAGAGACAGAGAGAGAGAGAAGCAGAGGGAGAGGCAGGCUCCCAAGGAGCAGGGAGCCCGAUGCGGGACUCGAUCCCAGGACCCUGGGAUCAUGACCUGAGCCGAAGGCAGACGCUUAACCAUCUGAGCCACCCAGGCGCCCCAUCAAAGCCAGAUCUUAACCACUAUAUUAUAUUGCCAAUAUUUCUUUUGUUGAUUUGUAAUUUUUGGACCUGAGACCCUAACUCAGGCUGGAGACUUGGGACCCUAUUCUAGGAGAGGAAGAAAUAUGGGCUCACAGAGAUUGUUGUCUGUUAUCAAUCCCUUCUGGCAGGGGGAUACAGGAUCUGCCCAAAUACAGACAGGCUCUGAGCCAGGCUGCACAGAUACAGGCAAUCCUCUGAGCCAGGCUGGGAAAUGCUCCAGAUGAACCGCCAGACUUCUGUGUCUGAAACUCAGAGAGAUAAGGAAGAAUCUUGGGUGGCACCCUCAGAGACAAAGCAAUUCUGCAGGUUUAGAAUGUGCUGAAAUCCAGGCAAAAUACGAAAGUGGCAAAACACAUGAAGAAGGGAAUUUUGUGAUAAUCAAUCAAAUCUCUGUUGGCAAUUCUGCUUGCAAAAUGAUUCACUGCAUUCCUUUCUCUUCCCAGGCUGGAUGAUUUUGAAGUCUGAGGCUCAAAACCCCCAAGCCCUGAUCCAGUCUUCUUGCCGCCUUCUAUUCACCCAUGCUCCAAGUCUCAGAGCCACCUUAGCCCCUCUCACCCUUUUCAGUUAGUCACAUUUUCCCAUAAAUAUCUAUUGAGUAUCAAUUUUGUGCCAGAGAGGCAAAGACUCUAACCUCAAGUUACUUACAGGGAAAGAAACAUUAAAAGACAAGUGUACAGAUAAUUAUUCAAUUAGGCUGUGAUACCUGCCAGGAAGGGAAACAUAGUAUUCAAUGGGAGUAUAUACCUGGGGAACUAGAUCUAACCUGGAGGUUCAUAUUUAGAUCAUCCCCCUGCCAUUUGUCUUUCUCCUUGUCAUCUUCCUCCUUACGAUGCCCUUUAUAACAAUGGCAUCUCUGCUGCAUCCCCAUGUCACAGCCUCGAUUCAGACCCUUGCUACCUUUGUACCUGUCUUCUAACAGAUCCCCCUGCCUCUUUGUCCCGCCCCCCCCCCCCCCCCCCCCCGCAGAAGCCCAUGCUCUACCCUGCAGUUAGAGUUGUAUUUCUAAAAUGUAAUCUGACCAGCUCCUCCUUGCUUUCACAUUAAGGUGUUACCUCUCCUGUCUGGCACGGGUUGCUCAACCUCUUUCUCUUCAUCCUCAUCUCCUAUAGGAUCCUCUCACCUCAGCUAGUCACUGGGUCCACCUCCACUACUGUUUACUCAUGUUUGCUCUUCAAUGUUCUCCCCACCCAUCACAGCCCAGGAAAUGACUAUUCUGAAUUCCAGGUACUCAUUGGACAUGUGUCUGAUGAGAGCCCACCAUGGAUAAGAAACUGGGCAAGAUCAGUGAGGAGGGAAAAGCUAGAAGCCAAUAGUCAGCACUUCUGAUGACUGCCCCAGAUGGCAAUACCUGUUCCCCAAUAGAUUGUAAGCUCCAUGAGGGCAGUGAGAGUCUGACUUGUCCAUUCACAUACUCUUCCUUGUGCCUUGUGCAAAGUAGCAUGGUGCCUAGCACAGAGGAAGAACUCAGUAUUUUUUUUUUCAGUGUAUAAAUAAAUGAAUAAAUAAAAGUGGUAGAUACUGCUCUUAAACUGCCUCCCACUGGAGUUAGAAGUACUUGUGCUUAGACUCCUUAAAAGAUGAAAAGUUCCUUGGGGGCCAGGGUUGUGACUCACUCAUGUGUGCACUCUUUACGAAGAAUCACUUAACAGUGUGGUUUCAUAUAGGUUAUUGCUUCUGUUUCUCAUUUCAACCCCACAAAUCAUUAUCCCCAUUUUCUUCCUUUCUUUCUUCUCCUUCCUGUUUCCUUCUCUCUUUCCCCUUCCCCUGGGAUGCAUGUCUAAGUAUUUCCUGUCUCUAAAUUCAGAAAGAUAUUUAGGGCUAAAUGUAGAGCUGCUUACAAUGAUGGCGAGGGAGGAUAUUUGCCAUAGGCUUCACAUACAUAAAGCACUCAAAUAUAACCAUUUGAUGUUAUGUUUGAAUAAAGUUAAAGUUUUUGUGUUGUAUGUGUGUGUGUGAGAGAGACACAGUGUUUUUGUUCAAUGUAAAUAUUUAAAAUAUACAUUUUUUGUACCAUA